rnacentral:rRNA from 1 species
UGCCAGCAGCCGCGGUAAUACGGAGGGUGCAAGCGUUAAUCGGAAUUACUGGGCGUAAAGCGAGUGUAGGCGGCUACGUAAGUCGGAUGUGAAAGCCCUGGGCUCAACCUGGGAAUGGCAUUCGAUACUGCGUAGACUUGAAUUUGGUAGAGGAAAGUGGAAUUCCGGGUGUAGCGGUGAAAUGCGUAGAUAUCCGGAGGAACAUCAGUGGCGAAGGCGGCUUUCUGGACCAAAAUUGACGCUGAGGCACGAAAGCGUGGGGAGCAAACAGGAUUAGAUA